AUGAAGAGAGAAAGAUAGCAUUACGAUAAAUAACAGCGUAGAAGUUCCCCCUCCAAUUGCGAAAAUAUUCUUUGUUAUAAAUUCUCCAGUCUCCGGCAAACAGCAAAACGAGACAAUCGAGCGUAAUAUAUAUUAUGUGUGUACCUUUGUAUUAUUCGGAGGAUUUAAGAAUAUUGGCGAAAAAAACAAUCGAGGGACAAUUGAGAAGUCCGACUUUACACGACAUUCUUUGUUCGUCCCUAUUAACGUGCUACGUAGUUCUCGUUCUUAUAAUAACUUGUAUGGACUUUUUGCUCUAUAAUCAUUAUUCAUUCUAUUCAACCAAUCUAUGGACUGUGAUGUUUACUACAUUCAAUAAUAACUAUUAUGUACUUUCUGCUGCUCUUCAUAUACAGGACAUAAAAUAAAAGGGCAUCCUGUGAGAAUUUCUAUGUUCGCUGAUUGGAGUAUAAAGAAAGACUGAUCCAGUAAUUGUCAUAGUCAAUCAAAAGUUCGGUUUUAUUGACAUCACACAUAAUUGUGGAUCUUAAGAUUAAAAUUUUUAAGUAUCGAAAUUUUAUAUUAAAGUUAUUUUAAGUUUCUCGCUUGUUACAAUCUUUAUAAUGUUAAACGAACGUACUAUUAUUUAAAUAUUAGUUUUUUGUGUUCCGCGUAUAUCAAAAACUGUAAAAAUAAUUGUAAAAUUAUUGAAAAUAUUAAUUUCUAAGCUUUCCCGUUUCAAAAGAUAGAGCUGCGAUGCUCAUUAGUCUGUGUACAAAAGGAAACUAAUUCGAUAUUCGUCACAGUUAAUAAAAGUUGUAUAUGUUUUUAUUACAUAAGGUUAAUGAUCCUGAGACGAAAAUUCCAAAGUAUUAAAGUUUUAAAUUAAAGUUAUUUUAAGUUUCUCGCGUGUUACGAUCUUUGUAAUGUUAAAUGAAUGUAUUAUUAUUUAA